rnacentral:rRNA from 1 species
CCUACGGGAGGCAGCAGUGAGGAAUAUUGGUCAAUGGACGAGAGUCUGAACCAGCCAAGGAGCGUGAAGGAUGACUGACCUAUGGGUUGUAAACUUCUUUUAUAUGGGAAUAAAAUGUUCCACGUGUGGGAUUUUGUAUGUACCAUAUGAAUAAGGAUCGGCUAAAUCCGUGCCAGCAGCCGCGGUAAUACGGAGUAUCCGAACGUUAUCCGGAUUUAUUGGGUUUAAAAGGAGCGUAGGUGGAUUGUUAAGUCAGUUGUGAAAGUUUGCGGCUCAACCGUAAAAUUGCAGUUGAAACUGGCAGUCGUGAGUACAGUAGAGGUGGGCGGAAUUCGUGGUGUAGCGGUGAAAUGCUGAGAUAUCACGAAGAACUCCGAUUGCGAAGGCAGUUCACUGGACUGCAACUGACACUGAGGCUCGAAAGUGUGGGUAUCAAACAGGAUUAGAUACCCUAGUAGUC